GGGGGGGGGGGGGGGGGGGGGGGGGGGGGGGGGGGGGGGGGGGGGGGGGGGGGGGGGGGGGGGGGGGGGGGGGGGGGGGGGGGGGGGGGGGGGGGGGGGGGGGGGGGGGGGGGGGGGGGGGGGAGCCCCUCAUGCUGCGCUGCUGCCCCCGAGCCCGUCACGGUGCGAUGCCCUGAGCCCCUCACGCUGGAUUGCACCAGACUGCAGAAACAGAGCAAAGAAGGAACACUGGCCUCUGGUAAGAAAAGACUUUAUCUCUUUCCCAGCACUGCAGCUCACGUCACACUGUACAGAUAUUACAAAAAGUGAUUACAUCUGGAUUAUUCUUGGGGUGUUUUGACAGGACUCAAAACAUUGUGGGUUUUUUCAGACACUGAAGGACAAUGAGCAGGAAGUUUCUAGCAUAGCCUUUAGGUAUUUGCUGCAUAGGAAUAUUCACUCUAUAGAAAGGUGCAAAGACAUUAUUUAAGUAGACAAUAUACAAUACUUUUAUGAAAAUAAAAGUCAUUGCUUGUGUGCCAGGAUUGACAUGAGGGUUUAGCAGACCGUAAAUUCUUGUGUGGCUAUCAGCUGUGGUUUACACCUUUUCAAGCCUUUAAAUUGCACUGAACAAAUUGGAAUAAAAAUGUCAUUGGAGAGACUAUUUUGCAAGAACAGGAAAUUACCUAAAUAACCUAAUAGGUUUUUUCCAUAAUUUUUUGUUGGAGCUUUUAUUUUGUGAGAAAGGGAAAUUGAAACCAUUGGCUGAACUGACACUUUAAUUAAUCAGACUGUCUACUUAACUCUGUUCAGUAGGUGGUAUACAGUAACUUUCAUUAGUCCCUGACACUCCAGCAGAGCUUGCGAACCUGCUGAAAUUCAUAUUUCUCCCAAUGUUCUGAAAAAUGCAAACGUUUCCCUGUAUUUUCUUAGGGUUUUUCUGAUAGCCUAAUUUUCUCCUAAUAUGAUUUAUAUUAU
rnacentral:lncRNA from 1 species